rnacentral:lncRNA from 1 species
GUGGGAGGAUCUUCUUCGGAUAGUCAUCAUCCCUUUAAGAAAGGAAAAAAGAAGAACAAUAAGAAGAUGCCUGGUGCUGGGAGUCAGUCCCAAAAACUCAAGUUCAAGGUUGAUCAAAGUCAGGUAGAGUGCUUCUUUUACAAGAAGUAGGGUCACUGAAAGAAGAAUUAUCCUCAGUAUAUCAUUUUUCUUGACCCGAACAGGUCAAAGAAGAAGAAGCAAUCAGUUACUGGAC